rnacentral:tRNA from 2 species
GUCUGUAUAGAUUAUUAUAAAUCGUGAUGCUGUUAACUUCAAGAAGGGGUCUCCCCUACAGUCG